AUGGACUUCAUUAUAUUUUUCAUUUUUAUGUUUUUUUCACCAUCAUGUAUCCUCUCUCAGACAUUACAAGAGUCUGGUCCUGGAACUGUGAAACCCUCAGAGUCACUCAGACUGACCUGCACAGUUUCUGGGUUUGAGCUAACUAGCUAUGAUGUGAGCUGGAUCAGGCAGCGUCCUGGGAAAGGACUGGAAUGUAUUGGAGUUGUAUGGACUGGUGGGGGCACAGCUAUUGCUGAUUCACUUAAAAACAGAGUUACAAUUACUAGAGAAACUGGGAAGAAGCAGGUCUACCUCCAAAUGAAUGGGAUGGAAGUUAAAGACACUGCCAUGUAUUACUGUGCAAGAGACACAGUGACAGAAGAGAAUGAGGAAGUCAGACAAUAACAAAAUGUCAAAUUACAUUGCACAGUGUUGCGAAACCACAAAAGAUUAAAUCAUGAAAAUCCUACACUAAUCAGGUCAAAUAUUUAGUUAAACGUUCAUAUUUCUAUGAAUGAAUUUCUUAAUGGAAUAAGAGAAAUUCUAGCAACUAAUGUAUUUAGUUGUAACAGUUGCUCAGUUACAGACUUUAGUAAAGCUCAAUGAGCUUGAUGGGAAAUAUAUUAAUGAAUAGAUCACAUUUUUAACAGUUUAGAAUAGUGAACAGUCACUGGGAAUAAUAAGGUAAGUGGGAAAUAAAAGAAAUUCAUUUGAAAA